rnacentral:rRNA from 1 species
UAGGGAAUUUUCGGCAAUGGACGAAAGUCUGACCGAGCAAUGCCGCGUGAAUGAUGAAGGUCUUCGGAUUGUAAAGUUCUGUUGUAAGGGACGAAUAGUAUAAUCAGGAAAUGGGUUAUAAAUGACGGUACCUUACUAGAAAGCCCCGGCUAACUAUGUGCCAGCAGCCGCGGUAAUACAUAGGGGGCAAGCGUUAUCCGGAAUUAUUGGGCGUAAAGAGUGCGUAGGUGGUUUAUUAAGUCUGGUGUGAAAUUUCACGGCUUAACUGUGAAGGGUCAUUGGAAACUGGUAAACUUGAGUACGGUAGAGGUAAGUGGAAUUCCAAGUGGAGCGGUGGAAUGCGUAGAUAUUUGGAGGAACACCAAUGGCGAAGGCAGCUUACUGGGCCGGGACUGACACUGAUGCACGAAAGCGUGGGGAGCAAACAGG